AAUCCCAUGACAUAUUUCAAUGUUUGAAAAUUCACAUUUUGAAUCCGCUGUACACACCUACUGAAUUUUUACAACUAAUUUUGAAUAGGUGAGAUACUCAACACCGAAGUGAAAAAAAAUUAUCAUUCAUGUUUUUAUUGCUCGUAUGUGUGGUAUACGCCAGAUGACCAGCACAACUCACUCAACACACACUCCUCCAAUCACCUCAAACGAACCCGAUAGCUGCUGUAGUACCAAGACUGACCUGUGAGUGGCAGCACAGUGCCACUGGGCAUCCACAUUGCCAAAAUGUACCAAGAAGAAUUGUGGGAAAAGGAAAAAGAAGGCUGAAUGUUAUCCUUUCUGGUAACAACACUGCCGUUGCCAACUUUAGUUUCUAUUGUGGCGAACGAGUUCAAACCCUCAACACAACCAGCUGCACUGUUUGCGUCCGCCAACAGCUAAUUGGCUAUUCUUCUGUUUGAUGUCACAGUCAGUGUCUUAAUGAUUUGUGAUUGUAAAUAUUGAACAGGUUUAACACUUACAAGUGUCAGUGGUCCCGAGCGUAUCGGGGAGGAAAGAUCACUUUUAACACACACCUCACCACACGUUAAUCACCCAGGGUAAUCUUUCAGAGACAUAAAAUAACCGAGCCGACCGAUCACAAGAGUUGAAAAAUAUCGUCGAUAUGUGUGUCUGUGUGUAUUCCGUCUUAGCUUAGGUCCAGCAAGAAAAGCUAAUUCUUUAAUUCCAAAUUGGAAACAUUGUUUACCAAAUUGGUAAGUUAUGUGAAUGUUUUCCAAAUUGGACUCCGUUUUCUUUGUACAGGCUGAGUAAGUCAUCAUUUUUGUUUUGUUUUGUGGUUUUGUCUGCGUCAUGGGCCGAUGGACUUCGACAAAUCUCAGGGAAAGUUUUGCUCAGCAUGUCGUAGCCCAGCUUUAUUCUUGGGAGGGGGACGAUGGUUGAUCGAAUGGAAAUCUAUUGGAGGAAUCAAACCACUCUUGUUUAAAAAAAAAAAAAAA